GGCGCGCAAAUUACCCACUCCCAGAACGGGGAGGUAGUGACGAAAAAUAACAAUACGGGACUCUUUUGAGACCCCGUAAUUGGAAUGAGUACACUCUAAAUCCUUUAACGAGGAUCCAUUGGAGAGCAAGUCUGGUGCCAGCAGUCGCGGUAAUUCCAGCUCCAAUAGCGUAUAUUAAAGUUGUUGCGGUUAAAAAGCUCGUAGUUGGAUCUCAGCUCCGGCCGGACGGUCCGCCUACCGGUGGUUACUGUUCGCUGCCGAGCGUUCAGGGGGCUUCGUCCUAUGAUCUUCACCGGUUGUCGGUCGGGGCCCCCACGUUUACUUUGAAAAAAUUAGAGUGCUCAAAGCAGGCGCGACGCCUGAAUAAUUGUGCAUGGAAUAAUGGAAUAGGACCUCGGUUCUAUUUUGUUGGUUUUCGGAACACGAGGUAAUGAUUAAGAGGGACAGACGGGGGCAUUCGUAUUGCGACGCUAGAGGUGAAAUUCUUGGACCGUCGCAAGACGAACUACUGCGAAAGCAUUUGCCAAGAAUGUUUCCAUUAAUCAAGAACGAAAGUUAGAGGUUCGAAGGCGAUCAGAUACCGCCCUAGUUCUAACCAUAAACGAUGCCAGCCAGCGAUCCGGCUGUGUUCCUCAAAUGACACGCCGGGCAGCUUCCGGGAAACCAAAGCUUUUGGGUUCCGGGGGAAGUAUGUU
rnacentral:rRNA from 1 species